rnacentral:rRNA from 1 species
UACGUAGGGAGCAAGCGUUGUUCGGAUUUACUGGGCGUAAAGGGCGCGUAGGCGGCAAAUUAAGUCAGCUGUGAAAUCUCCGAGCUUAACUCGGAACGGUCAGCUGAUACUGAUCUGCUAGAGUGCGGAAGGGGCAAUCGGAAUUCCGGGUGUAGCGGUGAAAUGCGCAGAUAUCAGGAGGAACACCAAUGGCGAAGGCAGCUCGCUGGGACGGUACUGACGCUGAGACGCGAAAGCGUGGGGAGCAAACAGG